rnacentral:rRNA from 1 species
AAACAUCGCCUCUUGACACUAAUAAGAGGUCAAGCCUGCCCAGUGACAAAGUUCAACGGCCGCGGUACCCUAACCACGCAAAGGUAGCAUAAUCACUUGUCCCCUAAAUAGGGACUUGUAUCAACGGCAUCACGAGGGUCGCACUGUCUCCUUAUUCCAAUCAGUGAAACUGAUCUCCCUGUGAAAAAGCAGGGCUAAAUAUAUAAGACGAGAAGACCCCAUGGAGCUUUAAACCCACAGCAACUUAACUUUAAACUUCUACACAUCUAAAAGAAAUGCCCAUUGGUUUUAGGUUGGGGUGACCACGGAGUAAAAAUAAACCUCCAUAACGCAUAAACCUAAAUUUUUAUUCAAGAGCCACAACUCUAAAAACUAGCACACUAAUGUCCACUGAUCCGAUAAUCGAUUAAUGAACCAAGUUACCCUGGGGAUAACAGCGCAAUCUAUUUCAAGAGUUCUUAUCGACAAAUAGGCUUACGACCUCGAUGUUGGAUCAGGAUAUCCUAGUGGUGCAACCGCUACUAACGGUUCGUUUGUUCAACGAUUAAAACCCUACGUGAU